GUGACAUUAAGUAUUACAAUUGCAUUUAAAUUGAUCAAUCAAUGUGUAAUUAUAGUGCAUUUAAACGCUACUGUGGCUGACUAAAGUGCUCUACAAUGAGUAAAAUAAUAACAAUGGUUUUCUUUUUCUUUUUUGUUUUCUUUUAAUUCAAGAAAAACAUGCAAUAGACAACAGUGUACAAGAAAUACAUAGAUUUACAGUGGCUUGCGAAAGUUUGGGAACCCUUGCAAAAUCUGUGAAGAUGUGAAUCAUUUGAACAAAAUAAGAGAGAUCAUUCAAAAUGCAUGUUAUUUUUUAUUUAGUACUGUCCUGAGUAAGAUAUUUUACAUAAAAGAUGUCUACAUUUAGUCCACAAGAAGAAGAAAAAAAAUAGCUGAAAUUAUUAAAUAACCCCAUUCAAAAGUUUGUAAACCCUUGGUUCUUAAUACUGUGUGUGGUUACCUGAAUUCUUCAGUUUUCCAGCAUCUAUUGCAUAUUUGAACCCUUUCCAGCAAUGACUGUAUGAUUUCCAACAUUUCUCACUGAGGACAACUGAGGGACUCAAACACAACUAUUAAAAAGGGUUAAAACAUUCACUGUUGCUCCAAAAGGCAACACAAUGCAUUAAGAGCUGGGGGGUGAAAACUUUUGAACAGGAUGAAGAUGUGAAAAUUUUUCUUAUUUUGUUGAAAUAUAAUUUCUUUCCAUUUAGUACUGCCUUUCAGAAGCAACAGAAGAUACUUGCAUGUUUCUCGGAAAACAAAUUAAGUACAAUUUACCUUGAAAUUCAUUUUAUUGUUAUUCACAUUUUCACAGAUUCUGCAAGGGGCUCCCAAACUUUUGCAUGCAACUGUAUGUGUUUGGCAGAUGCUUUUGGUCAGAGCAACAUAUUGCGACUUAUAAGCAUGGCCACAAUGAAAGCACCGGUAAUAAUGGAGUCUGCAGGUUUCUGCCAGCACUAAAGUGAAGCCGCGACCUCUAUUAGAGUUAACGCUUGCGUCCAGUGAAGUCUUCAGCGACUGGGUGUGCUGUUCUAACGUCCAAACCAC
ensembl:lncRNA